CCUACGGUGGACAGCAGUGGGGAAUCUUGCACAAUGGGGGAAACCCUGAUGCAGCGACGCCGCGUGAGUGAAGAAGUAAUUCGUUAUGUAAAGCUCUAUCAGCAGGGGAGAAAAUGACGGUACCUGAGUAACAAGCCCCGGCUAAGUACGUCCCAGCAGCCGCGGGAAUACGUAGGGGGCAAGCGUGAGCCGGAUUUACUGGGUGUAAAGGGAGCGUAGACGGCAGUGCAAGUCUGGAGUGAAAGGCGGAGGCUCAACCCCCGGACUGCUCUGGAAACUGUACGGCUGGAGUGCAGGAGAGGUAAGUGGAAUUCCUAGUGUAGCGGUGAAAUGCGUAGAUAUUAGGAGGAACACCAGUGGCGAAGGCGGCUUACUGGACUGUAACUGACGUUGAGGCUCGAAAGCGUGGGGAGCAAACAGGAUUAGAUACCCGGGUAGUC
rnacentral:rRNA from 1 species